rnacentral:rRNA from 1 species
AUUGAACGCUGGCGGCAUGCUUUACACAUGCAAGUCGAACGGCAGCGCGGGCUUCGCCCUCUCGUCCGGGGGCGGACGGGCGGGUAAUGCAGCGAAACGUGCGCAGCUGCGGGGGAUAGGGCGGCGAAAGAGGGAUUAAUACCGCAUAAGCCCAUAGGGUGAAAGCGGGGAACCGGAAGACCUUGCGCCCUUGCACGAGCCGAUGUCGGAUUAGCUAGUUGGUGGGGUAAAGGCGUACCAAGGCGACGAUCCGUAGCUGGUCUGAGAGGACGACCAGCCACACUGGGACUGAGACACGGCCCAGACUCCUACGGGAGGCAGCAGUGGGGAAUUUUGGACAAUGGGGGCAACCCUGAUCCAGCCAUGCCGCGUGCGUGAAGAAGGCCUUCGGGUUGUAAAGCGCUUUUGUUCGGGAAGAAAACCUCUGGGCUAAUACCCCGGGGGGCUGACGGUACCGGAAGAAUAAGCACCGGCUAACUACGUG